UGGGGAAUAUUGCACAAUGGGCGAAAGCCUGAUGCAGCAACGCCGCGUGAGUGAUGAAGGUCUUCGGAUUGUAAAGCUCUGUCUUUUGGGACGAUAAUGACGGUACCAAAGGAGGAAGCCACGGCUAACUACGUGCCAGCAGCCGCGGUAAUACGUAGGUGGCGAGCGUUGUCGGAUUUACUGGGCGUAAAGGGUGCGUAGGCGGAUGUUUAAGUGAGAUGUGAAAUACCCGGGCUUAACUUGGGUGCUGCAUUUCAAACUGGAUAUCUAGAGUGCAGGAGAGGAGAAUGGAAUUCCUAGUGUAGCGGUGAAAUGCGUAGAGAUUAGGAGACACCAGUGGCGAAGGCGAUUCUCUGGACUGUAACUGACGCUGAGGCACGAAAGCGUGGGUAGCAAACAGGAUUAGAUACCCUGGUAGUCCACGCCGUAAACGAUGAGUACUAGGUGUAGGAGGUAUCGACCCCUUCUGUGCCGCAGUAAACACAUUAAGUACUCCGCCUGGGAAGUACGAUCGCAAGAUUAAAAC
rnacentral:rRNA from 1 species